rnacentral:rRNA from 1 species
UACGUAGGGACCAAGCGUUGUUCGGAUUUACUGGGCGUAAAGGGCGCGUAGGCGGCAAUUCAAGUCACUUGUGAAAUCUCUGAGCUUAACUCAGAACGGUCAAGUGAUACUGCUUUGCUAGAGUACAGAAGGGGCAAUCGGAAUUCUUGGUGUAGCGGUGAAAUGCGUAGAUAUCAAGAGGAACACCUGAGGUGAAGACGGGUUGCUGGGCUGAUACUGACGCUGAGGCGCGAAAGCUAGGGUAGCAAACGGG